UUUUGGGCUUCUUGGUGCAGUUGGUCCUGACUGACUUUCGAAACCGUUAGCUACGCUACUUUUGCAAUUAACCAAUACAAAACACAGCACUUUUUCUUUUGCUAUUGUUCUCUUUCCGUUUUGUUGGCGGUUACCGUUAGCGUUUUUUGCAAAUAAUUUUGCUACACUCUUCGUUUUGCACUGUGGCUGGGGCCGUGUAAUGGAGGCGAAAGACACACUGUGUUUGAAGCGUAGCGGUUAAUAAAGCACGACACAACUAACUGUGUUCUGUCGGUUUCGUUCACGACUGGCAGCGAAAAAAUAAACGGGAAUAGUCCAGGCAUCAGGUGCGCGACGCCUUUUAUAUGAGGCGAGGCGAGAGCUUUUCUGCUCGCAUCGCCAUCCAGAGAAGAGAGCAGCAGAAGCAGCGCGAAGAUAAGCUCUGCUUUUGUGCUCUCUCUGGGGUUAACCUUUCGGAGUGUGUAGGGCCACUGCUGUGCUCUGUUGUUGCUCUGUAAAAUGAUUUGCGUGCUUUUAGUUAAGUUUGUGCAGCAUUUAAUUUCGAAAUUAACAGCGAUAAGUGUCUCCUCCGGUCGGUCAGCUGUUGCCUGCGUGAUAAAGAUGUACAAAUUUUGAUUUCUCCCGCCAUAGGACAGCAAUCGGACCACUUUUUUGUUGCUACUAAAUACAAAAUAUACUCUCGCAUACAUGCAGAACAGAUCGCAACCUCCGGUUGCUAGGAAUACCUUUUGCAUGCCGUGGUCACCGAUUUGCCCACCAUUGUUUACCAGGGGCAUCAACCUUUUAGUCUUCCGGUCUUAAGAGCGAGUGUGCGCUCGAUGACGGCUAUCCACUCCAGGCGCCUCAACGGCUGACAUCGUGAACAUCCGCUGGCUCCUGCGUACGGGGACAAGAUUCCUGUCCCCCAUUACCGAGGCGUACUCGAGUCGGACAGAAUCGUUUCCCAGCAGCACAGAAACGCUCCCCUGCAAGAUCCGAACCCAACAAGCCAUCGUCAUCCUUCAACCUGGCCAUCGACAACAAGGACUUUGACUGUGGCAAUCAAGGGAAGGCUACGCGGGCUACUAGACUCUAGAUAGAUCUCGUUGUUGUUAGGUUUAAGGAUAUACGCGUCCAAAUAAUGAGAUAGUAGAUACAAAUUUGUUCCACUUGUAAAUUUAUUUAUACUAAGCUAAGUUAUGAUGAAUAAAACUAUUGAAAAAUCA